UUUCCGUAGGUGAACCUGCGGGAGGAUCAUUAACGAGUUAGGGUCCUCUAGGCCCGACCUCCCAACCCUUUGUUUACUGAACCAUUGUUGCCUCGGUGGGUCCGUCUUACGACCGCCGGGGGAUCGCCGCGAGGCGCCCCCUGGCCAGCGCCCACCGAUAGCCCAACCUUUAAAACCCUUUGUGAAUCGUGUCUUAUGUCUAAAUUUAUGAUUAAACAAUCAAAACAAAACUUUCAACAACGGAUCUCUUGGUUCUG
rnacentral:misc_RNA from 1 species